rnacentral:rRNA from 1 species
UACGUAGGGGGCUAGCGUUAUCCGGAAUUACUGGGCGUAAAGGGUGCGUAGGUGGUUUCUUAAGUCAGAGGUGAAAGGCUACGGCUCAACCGUAGUAAGCCUUUGAAACUGGGGAACUUGAGUGCAGGAGAGGAGAGUGGAAUUCCUAGUGUAGCGGUGAAAUGCGUAGAUAUUGGGAGGAACACCAGUUGCGAAGGUGGCUCUCUGGACUGUAACUGACACUGAGGCACGAAAGCGUGGGGAGCAAACAGG